CCUACGGGGCGCAGCAGUGGGGAAUAUUGGACAAUGGGCGAAAGCCUGAUCCAGCCAUGCCGCGUGUGUGAAGAAGGCCUUCGGGUUGUAAAGCACUUUCAGUGGGGAAGAAAGCCUUGGGGCUAAUACCCUCGAGGAAGGACAUCACCCACAGAAGAAGCACCGGCUAACUCCGUGCCAGCAGCCGCGGUAAUACGGAGGGUGCGAGCGUUAAUCGGAAUUACUGGGCGGAAAGCGCGCGUAGGCGGUCUGAUAAGCCGGUUGUGAAAGCCCCGGGCUCAACCUGGGAACGGCAUCCGGAACUGUCAGGCUAGAGUGCAGGAGAGGAAGGUAGAAUUCCCGGUGUAGCGGUGAAAUGCGUAGAGAUCGGGAGGAAUACCAGUGGCGAAGGCGGCCUUCUGGACUGACACUGACGCUGAGGUGCGAAAGCGUGGGUAGCAAACAGGAUUAGAUACCCCAGUAGUC
rnacentral:rRNA from 1 species